UUUAUUGGGUAGGGCAUAUGAGUGACAGAGAGAGACAGAGAUGGAAGAAGAGGGAAAAGUAAAAUUGGACCGAUGGGGAUAUCCAGUCAAGACCUCCUCCUACCCUUGCAUUUCUGCUAUCAAUGCCUACUACCACCAGGUUUCUUCUUCUUCUCCUUCUUUUUGAGAUUCUCUGUAGACUAAACACUGAGUCCUUUUUCUUGAACCAUCGAAAGUGAUGAGUUAUGGAAGAGAGAGGUUUAUAAUUCUCAAAGCACCGCAUCAUGACCUUAUGAAAAGUAAAAAUGGGCCAUUUAGCCGCAUGUUGCCGCUAAACCCUAGCAAUGCCAUCUUCUGUUGCUCAAAACCCUCAUUCCUCUCAUUCCAUUCCCCUCCUCUCAUCAUUCGCCGCCACGCCACCGACCUCCUGUCUCACCCAUCAUUUCCCGGGUGAUUUCAACUUCCUGCGCCCGCUGAUGUCUCCAGCGGCAUCUGGGUCGGCCAGGACUCAGACUCCUCCACCGUCGACAGCUCCUUCAGGCGAAGCAGUGCAAACGGAAAUGUGAAGGUAAAUUCGAAGGAAAAACGAUGGUCCCGCGACUGAGAGCUAUUUGCCCAGCGACAGUGAUGCUCUUCCACUUCCUAUGAUGUUUCCUGAUUCAUCUCCGGUAUCACAGAACGAAAUCAAUCGUCGGCUUCGUUGCGACCCAAAAGCUGAGGACUGUAACGAAAUGGUUUAUGAAUGGACUGAAAAGUUUCAGAGUUACCAAGGAUUAGGAUUUGUUAGUUAGUACAAUAAAAAGGGGAAGAAAGUGUCUGCAAAUGCAUACCAUGUCUAGGAAAUGGUACUUUUCUUUUUCAAGGCAUUGAUGCUUAUGCAACUUGAGUUGUUAACUUGGUUUAGGUUGCAUGAAGAUAUAGAGAUGCUUGUGCCUGUGCAGAGAAGCACACACUUUGUCUACAUAUUUUUUGACCUUAUAGUUUACGCUCGAUUUUGAUAAUGAUAGAUACUUAGGUAUUUGAUGGUUUUUAAGUGUAUGUGUAGGCUUAUAUGAGCAUUUCAAGGAAUGACAUUUGAAGCAAGAUAUAAAACCCUGAGGAUUCUCUUUCAUAUUGUAAAUUCUAUUAAUGUAAUAUGAGUCUGUAAUAGUAACUAGGCAUAUGGUCUGUAAUAAUUUCUCACAUAUCAUGCAUAUAAGAUAUAUUGUAAGCUCAGUAAGACCUUAAUAUGA